rnacentral:lncRNA from 1 species
CUGACCUAUCAGUCACUUCUUUCUAUUUUGGGUUUUGGACAGUGCCAUCAGGGAUUGUUUUCCCAAGCUGUUAUGCCUGGAAAGUUACAAAGGAUCUGAGACACUGAAGAGUCUAGUCUUGCAAUUUCUGCAGCACCUUGUGUGUUUUCCGGCUGAAGCAUACAAAAUAUGACAUCCUGUGCUCCCUCUAUGUGCUGCUCACAACAUAGCACGACCUCAGCUCCCUCGUGGUGGACAUGUGGUUCCGGACGGUGAGCACCUGCUUCCUCCCAAGGGCAGCCCCAGAAAGCCACACAGGGUGGAAGGAAGAACAAGGGAGAACUUUGGGACUCUCUCCUGAGUCUGCCGCUGUGAAGAGUGGUUCUGGC